rnacentral:rRNA from 1 species
UGGGGAAUUUUGGACAAUGGGCGAAAGCCUGAUCCAGCCAUGCCGCGUGAGUGAAGAAGGCCUUCGGGUUGUAAAGCUCUUUUAGUCGGAAAGAAAGAGUUGCAAUGAAUAAUUGUGAUUUAUGACGGUACCGACAGAAAAAGCACCGGCUAACUACGUGCCAGCAGCCGCGGUAAUACGUAGGGUGCGAGCGUUAAUCGGAAUUACUGGGCGUAAAGGGUGCGCAGGCGGUCCUGCAAGUCAGAUGUGAAAGCCCCGGGCUUAACCUGGGAAUUGCGUUUGAAACUACAAGGCUAGAGUGCAGCAGAGGGGAGUGGAAUUCCAUGUGUAGCAGUGAAAUGCGUAGAGAUGUGGAAGAACACCGAUGGCGAAGGCAGCUCCCUGGGUUGACACUGACGCUCAUGCACGAAAGCGUGGGGAGCAAACA